UACGGGGGGGGGCAAGCGUUGUUCGGAAUUACUGGGCGUAAAGGGCCAGUAGGCGGCCGGCUAAGUCCGACGUGAAAUCCCCAGGCUUAACCUGGGAACUGCGUCGGAUACUGGCUGGCUUGAAUUCGGGAGAGGGAUGCAGAAUUCCAGGUGUAGCGGUGAAAUGCGUAGAUAUCUGGAGGAAUACCGGGUGGCGAAGGCGGCAUCCUGGACCGACAUUGACGCUGAACGGCGAAAGCUAGGGGAGCAAACGGG
rnacentral:rRNA from 1 species